GCCUGGGUGGCUCAGUCGGUUAAGCAUCUGACUUUGGCUCAGGUCAUGAUCUCGCGGUCCGUGAGUUCGAGCCCCGCAUCGGGCU
rnacentral:tRNA from 1 species